CUGGACUUUAGGGAUAAGAGAAAUUGAGGCCAGGCAGUCUUAAAGAAAGACAUACUGUAUCCAUCAGGCCCUGGGGCUUUAUCCUCAGACAUGGACCUGAUUUGAUAAUGUUGAUGUCAGGAGGGAGAGUGUUAAUUGCCUUGCCCAUCAGAUUUUUAUAAUAUGAUGUA